rnacentral:rRNA from 1 species
AUUGAACGCUGGCGGCAGGCUUAACACAUGCAAGUCGAGCGGGGAAGGGUAGCUUGCUACCUAACCUAGCGGCGGACGGGUGAGUAAUGCUUAGGAAUCUGCCAUUUAGUGGGGGACAACAUUCCGAAAGGAAUGCUAAUACCGCAUACGUCCUACGGGAGAAAGCAGGGGAUCUUCGGACCUUGCGCUAAAUGAUGAGCCUAAGUCGGAUUAGCUAGUUGGUGGGGUAAAGGCCUACCAAGGCGACGAGCCGUAGCGGGUCUGAGAGGAUGAUCCGCCACACUGGGACUGAGACACGGCCCAGACUCCUACGGGAGGCAGCAGUGGGGAAUAUUGGACAAUGGGGGGAACCCUGAUCCAGCCAUGCCGCGUGUGUGAAGAAGGCCUUUUGGUUGUAAAGCACUUUAAGCGAGGAGGAGGCUACCUAGAUUAAUACUCUGAGAUAGUGGACGUUACUCGCAGAAUAAGCACCGGCUAACUCUGUGCCAGCCGCCGCAGUAAGAC